rnacentral:rRNA from 1 species
UACGUAGGGCGCAAGCGUUAUCCGGAAUUAUUGGGCGUAAAGAGCUCGUAGGCGGUUUGUCGCGUCUGCCGUGAAAGUCCAGGGCUCAACUCCGGAUCUGCGGUGGGUACGGGCAGACUAGAGUGAUGUAGGGGAGACUGGAAUUCCUGGUGUAGCGGUGAAAUGCGCAGAUAUCAGGAGGAACACCGAUGGCGAAGGCGGUUAGCUGGGCAGUUGCUGACACUGAGGCGCGACAGCGUGGGGAGCAAACAGG